rnacentral:siRNA from 1 species
CCGGAGGACCGAGUGCCGCUCA